rnacentral:rRNA from 1 species
GAUGAACGCUGGCGGCGUGCCUAAUACAUGCAAGUCGAACGCAUUGUGGUUGAAAUGAUAUGAAGAACUUGUUCAGAUUUGAUUUUCAACAUUGCAAUGAGUGGCGAACGGGUGAGUAACACGUGGGAAACCUACCUCUUAGCAGGGGAUAACAUUUGGAAACAAAUGCUAAUACCGUAUAAUAAUUAAAACCGCAUGGUUUAGUUUAAAAGAAUGGUCUUGCUAUCACUAAGAGAUGUCCCGCGGUGUAUUAGUUAGUUGGUGAGGUAAAUGGCUCACCAAGACAAUGAUACAUAGCCGAGUUGAGAGACUGA